GAUGAAGAACGUAGCGAAAUGCGAUACGUAAUGUGAAUUGCAGAAUUCAGUGAAUCAUCGAAUCUUUGAACGCACAUUGUGCCCGCUAGUAUUCUGGCGGGCAUGCCUGUCCGAGCGUCAUUUCAACCCUCAAGCCCCCGGGCUUGGUGUUGGGGAUCGGCGAGCCUCCGCGCCCGCCGUCCCCUAAAUCUAGUGGCGGUCUCGCUGUAGCUUCCUCUGCGUAGUAGCACACCUCGCACUGGGAAACAGCGCGGCCACGCCGUUAAACCCCCAACUUCUGAACGUUUGACCUCGGAUCAGGUAGGAAUACCCGCUGAACUUAAGCAUAUCAAUAAGCGGAGGA
rnacentral:misc_RNA from 1 species